UGAGGAGAUAUUUCAUGAACUUUCAUUGGCAAUGAUUGAUUGUCAUCCACGUUCAUGGUGGUCUAUGCAUGGAAGUUCUAUUCCUUUGCUUCAAAAAAUUGCUAUUCACAUUUUGAGUCAGCCUUGUAGUUCAUCAUCAUGUGAGAGAAAUUGGAGUGCUUUUGAAGUAGUACAGACCAAGAAAAGACAAACUCUCUCAUGAUAUUUUGGAAGAUUUGGUUUACAUAAGGAUGAAUUCCCUUAUGAAAAUCAAGUCGAGAGAUAUUCAGAAGUUUGAUAAAGAAUCAAUUAAUUUAGAUAAAUUUAUUGAGAUUCCAAUAGAUGAAGAUGAUUAUUGAGUUGGAGUUCAAGAAGAAGAGGG